GAUCAGAUCACAAGGCUUUCCUAAGGUAAAAGCAAGCCUUCCUAGAGAGUGAGAGUCCCAGCCCGAAGAGAAGUGACGUUGAAAAAGAACCGUUCGGAAGGAGGAGCGUCCGAGCGGGUGUGGUGUGGUAGGUGGCCGAGGCGGAGGCGGAAGUGGGCGGUAAGGCCUUUCCGCGCCGACGACCAGAGAGAUCCCAAGCAGCCGGGCCGCGCCCCCACGCCGCCCCCUGGGCACGAAGACGAAGGCGUGGCUCUCAUACCGACCUUCCGUGUGGUAACAAGAGCACGUUGGUAGAGGUUUGUUUCGCAGGUCUUGAAAAUACCUGAAGUCAAGUGAGUUGGUUCGUGACCUACCAUAGACACGGGCAAUACUUUUCUUUUAGUACCUAUAGUUGGGCUACCGGUCCUUGAAGUGAAUACUGUAGUGGCUGGAGAUGUUAAAGUAGCUACCGGAUCGCCUGUAGUCGCGCGAUCACAUACUAGUAGUUGAGGUUCGAAAAAACGGCAUACUGUCCGUCACCUAUUUUGUCUUCUACAAGGUCGUGGAGUUCUUGGUCCGUGCCGUCAUCGGUCGGCGACCAAGACUAAUUGUUUUCGUUCACAUGUUCCACCAUACAGACAACAGACAUCAAAGUCUACCACACUCUCUGGAUCCCAAGUACACGAUUAACAUUCUCUUCUACUAGCUAAACGAACCGAUAGACGGUAAAGACUACGCUGUGGCUGUGUGGCAUCAUGAGGGAGGCAAGGAUUUAUGAACAGAAAGAUCCGUAAAGUUGUUCACUGAUGUAUGCCUCAUUUUACUCACUUAGAUUUGAGAUUUUAUACAGAUGUAUGUAGGCAUACACUAUAAGUAAACUUUACAGAUCUUUCUGUUCAUAAAUCCUUGCCUCCCUCAUAUUUACUUUCCGAAGACGGACACACACAGACUGGUACUUACCUACUCGUUAAUGAUACUAUUAUUUAGCUAGUGAAACAGAAGUUUAAACCGUUGUGAGCC
rnacentral:rRNA from 1 species